AAACAGAUGCUAAUACCGGAUAACAACAGAUGAUGCCUAUCAACUGUUUAAAAGAUGGUUCUGCUAUCACUCUUGGAUGGACCUGCGGUGCAUUAGCUAGUUGGUAGGGUAACGGCCUACCAAGGCGAUGAUGCAUAGCCGAGUUGAGAGACUGAUCGGCCACAGUUGGGACUGAGACACGGCCCAAACUCCUACGGGAGGCAGCAGCA
rnacentral:rRNA from 1 species